rnacentral:rRNA from 2 species
UGGACUUGACAUCCCCUGAAUAACCUAGAGAUAGGCGAAGCCCUUCGGGGCAGGGAGACAGGUGGUGCAUGGUUGUCGUCAGCUCGUGUCGUGAGAUGUUAGGUUAAGUCCUGCAACGAGCGCAACCCCUUUUAUUAGUUGCUACCAUUAAGUUGAGCACUCUAAUGAGACUGCCCGGGUAACCGGGAGGAAGGUGGGGAUGACGUCAAAUCAUCAUGCCCCUUAUGUCCAGGGCUACACACGUGCUACAAUGGUAGGUACAAAAAGAUGCAAUAUCGUGAGGUGGAGCAAAACUUUUAAAACCUAUCUCAGUUCGGAUUGUAGGCUGCAACUCGCCUACAUGAAGCUGGAGUUGCUAGUAAUCGCAAAUCAGAAUGUUGCGGUGAAUACGUUCCCGGGCC